CCUUCGAUAGCUCAGUUGGUAGAGCGGAGGACUGUAGUGGAAGCUCUCAGGCAUCCUUAGGUCGCUGGUUCGAAUCCGGCUCGAAGGA
rnacentral:tRNA from 1 species